UGGCGCUAUAUUGAAAUCAGCGCGGCAAGUCAUUUGUGUCCGGAAAUGAUGUACGAUGAAAGUGGAUAAUUUUAUCAACAUUUCUGAUGAUAUAUCUAAGUAAUAGAAGAUCGGUUGUCAUCUGAUAUUUCAAGUUACCAAAGAUGUAUAUUACAACGAAUAAUGAGUUCGUACCAAAACAAUUUAUUAUUUAUACAUUUUACGGAGAAGAAACUUGCUUCUGUUGGAAUGAAGACAAGGUGGUAAUAUUUCCAUACACAAAUGAUAAUUUUGUGUCUGCUGAAGUUUUAACGGCUCCUGCACCAAUAAGAAGUAUACAAUGUUUGGCAGGCAAAAUUUUGUUUACUUGCAUUCCCCAUGGGAUAUAUAAGCUAUUGAAAGACAGGAAAUUUGCCGUUUUAAGUAAAACUGCUAUUGCAGUGGGUACUCUUUUUUAUGAAGUAUUAAAACCAAGAAAUAAAUAUCUUUAUUUAGAUAAUAAACAAGAUAAAACGAAUAAACUGUUGCUUCAACUUCCUCCUGAGGAAAAUGACUCGAGAAAAUUAUGUACUUACGCAUUGAGUGUGGAAAAUGCAACAGAACAGUUUAUUGGAACCUUAGCAAAACCUAAUUGUAAUGUAGAACAUUUGUGCAUAGUGGCAAUGGGAAAAAGAAUUUUAAUACUAAUGCGUGAAACUGUUCAAAUAAUAUACAACAGUAUUUAUUCCAUCAGAGAUAUAAUACCUGUACAAAUAGAUUCCAAGGUUGGUGCUUUGCUAUUCCUUACAAACAAUGACAAUAUCAUCAUAAUGUACUCGAAGAACGAUACACUAGCCUUUGAGAAGAUUUUUAUUGGUGGAAAUAUACAUAGUCUCUGUGCAGGCUUCAGUCGAUUAACAGAGAAUGCAUUAUGGUUUGUAUAUUCAGAUGAGUCUAAAUUAUUUUAUGGAAGAAAACAAUUAUCAUCAAUAGACAAUGUUCAACGAUUAAGUGUUCAGGAUAAUAGCUUUUGUUGUUUGCAACACUACAAUUCAAAAGUAAUUUUGGGUUUAACUAUGGACAAACAAUUGACAGAGUUUUCCACAGAUACAAUAGAAAAAACAUUAUCAUUGGAGCACGAUGUUUUUAUUAAUCUUCAUCCAGACAUGUUGAAUGGCACGAAUCUUAUCAUGGAUAAGAUUUAUAAAGGAACACAAGAAAUACAUACAUUAAACAAAACAUUACAAGCCGAAGAAGAUAAAUUAAAAAGAAUAAACUUGUAUGCUCACAAGUGUAAAAUACAUUUAUGUCCAAAAAUGUUACUACACAGGAUAGCCAAUCUAUUGUUCUUGUCUGUAACAUUUUCCAAUCUUCCGAAAAACAGUUGGGUGAUACUUAAUGUAAAGUGUAAAAAUGAAAAUAUCUUUUGUAUGAAAAAAGUGGAGGAUCAAGAAACCAUAGUGGACGUUCAUAUACCUGAAGGUAAAGCAGUUAAUUUUUCACAAGUAUCUAUAGAUUUAGUUACUUUAAAGGACAAAGGAUAUUCUUGGUGUCUCAUAAGAGACUACGUAACGUAUGCUCGCCACGAGAAGAAUAAGAAAAAAAGAACAAGGUCAGACAAGACCAGUUUGAUAAAUUCGAAAAUUGCUAUGCUCGAAAACUUCAUACAAGAAGGGAACAUCGACAUGAAAACAUUAUCCGAAAUCAAAAGGAAAGUGAGGAAAGAAUGCUGCGAACUGUAAGAUUCAACUGUGCACAGUACCAUUCAUAAAUGGACCCACUGAUUUCCUGAGUGCAGUUACGUUAUCAUCUGGCGUCGCAGCGGGGAGAAUAUAUCUUGUUCUCUUUAACCGAACGUGUACAGUCUUGAUUAAAAUUUCUCGAACUGGUGGGCGUUCUGACGCCUCCUAGGCGACUCUGAAACGCCACCAAUGUUUUCGAGUUUUUCUUGGACCCUCUGCGCUCCGCGGUGGCAUUGGUGUUGCUGUCGAGACUGCGCCGCCACAGUUUCGCAAAGCAGAUUCGAAAGUUCUCCGAGAAGAUACCGUAGAGCACAGGAUUUACUAUCGCAUUGAACUGCGCCACGAUCAACGCCCAAAUGAAAUGAUGCGAUUUUAGGAAGAAAUCGGGAUUCUCGGUGGAUCUCUUGCCGUCCACGUAGAUCAACAGUAUAACGGUGGUGAUGGGCAGCCACAUUAUAAGAACGCACAGCACGUUUAGCAUUAACAUUCGCACCACCCGCAGAUGCUUUUGCAGUCGUAUCUCUUCGUGUUGAGAAAGACUACCGGCUCGCCCUUGUCUGGCUGUGAUUGACGCGUUGGAUAGUUUCCUUCCUGGCCAAGUAUAAAACAGCUACGUUUCAUACGAGGUAAUGUGAACGAACUAUAGAAACGAUUGGAAUUACUUGCGCGAUGCACGAGACGGCCCAUCUGUUUCGCGAAUCGAGAAUUUUUUUAAAGAUCCGCUGGUAAUGGUAAACCAGAAGAAUCAUCGGCAGAAGACACGCCAGGAUGACGAUCGGUACUGUGAAGCACAAUGAAACGUUUACGACUUCGCUCCGUGGAAAGACUAGAGUACAGAUCGUUAGCUCGUUCGCGAGGUCCUGCGCAUUUAAAGUAUUCAGAGUAUAUUAAUCACCGGCUCAAGGUGAAUGGGUUAAUGAUGGUUAAUGAUACUUGUGCGGUACGCGGUGCGGCAAGCCCAGUUUCUUACGUGAAAUGUAAAGUACCUUCAGCUUGAACCAAAAUAUCAUCGGCAGAAAAACGGAAGCCGCAAUGGCCCAAGUGAGGAGACUAGCCGCCAGAACUCGGGAUCUCGUUAAGGCACUUCUGUAAGGGGCUACUGCUAAGCACCGAUGCCUGUCCAUCGAUAUGAACGUCAACGUCCAUAGAAGUACAAAGCCGCAGACCAACUAUAAGGAGCAAAAGCCAGCAGAUCAGUGUAUGAGAAUAUAUGUGCUUUUACCAAGAAAUAACAGAGCUUUGGUAAACAAUACCACUCAAAGUAUAAAUGGCAAUGGGAAUAGCUUCAUACGAUAUAGGCUUGGCAGCGAAUAGGUCAAUAAUUUAUUGGAAAAAGAGGAAAAUUCUCAGCAUAUGUUAUGCCUAUGUUUCUUUUUAAGUAUAAUAGUUGAUUACAGGGGAAUAAUAUUUAUUUUGAAUCAAAAUGAACUGAGUAAU